CUUCAAUAUAUUGCAUGCAAUCUUGGCAACCUAGCCUGUAGUAUUCCAACUUCAAUAUCCCGCACAAUAUAUGCGAAGAUAGAAAAAUUAAUAAUAUUUCCGCUGUCGUUAUGUGUCGUAUAAUGUUUUUAUUUUUUAUCUCUGUAGUUCACUUUUGACAAGAAUGCGGGUUACUUUUUGGUGGUUAGCUGUUUUGGCAGUUUUUCCGGUAUUUGCGAUCGCUCUAUCCCAG